GACGAAGAACGUAGCGAAAUGCGAUAAGUAAUGUGAAUUGCAGAAUUCAGUGAAUCAUCGAAUCUUUGAACGCACAUUGCGCCCGCCAGCAUUCUGGCGGGCAUGCCUGUUCGAGCGUCAUUUCAACCCUCGAGCCCCCCCGGGGGCCUCGGUGUUGGGGGACGGCACACCAGCCGCCCCCGAAAUGCAGUGGCGACCCCGCCGCAGCCUCCCCUGCGUAGUAGCACACACCUCGCACCGGAGCGCGGAGGCGGUCACGCCGUAAAACGCCCAACUUUCUUAGAGUUGACCUCGGAUCAGGUAGGAAUACCCGCUGAACUUAAGCAUAUCAAUAAGCGGAGGA
rnacentral:misc_RNA from 1 species